CUGUAAAUAUUCUUGCUGUUCUGAUUUCGUAACAAUCAGUUCAACGUUUGCUAUAUUAAGACCAUGCAUGUGUUCCCAGACCUAAUUCUUUCCCUAAGUCUGGUUUUCUAAACUGCUGGUGAUAAAA
ensembl:snoRNA SNORA72 Small nucleolar RNA SNORA72